GACCAAGGAGUCUAACAUGUGCGCGAGUCGCUGGGAGCUCUCGCUAAACCCGGAGGCGCAGUGAAAGCGGGGGCGCGGUUCUACCGCGCUCUGGGAGGAUGCCGCGUUCCACCUCGGUGGGCCGGCCGCACUCCCGGGGCGCCUCGGCUCCGGCCGCAGGCGCACCCCGAGCGCACACGUUGGGACCCGAAAGAUGGUGAACUAUGCCUGGUCAGGACGAAGUCAGGGGAAACCCUGAUGGAGGUCCGCAGCGAUUCUGACGUGCAAAUCGAUCGUCAGAGCUGGGUAUAGGGGCGAAAGACUAAUCGAACCAUCUA
rnacentral:rRNA from 1 species